rnacentral:rRNA from 1 species
UUAAAGUCCAUUCUCAGUUCGGAUUGUAGGCUGAAACUCGCCUACAUGAAGCUGGAGUUACUAGUAAUCGCAGAUCAGAAUGCUGCGGUGAAUGCGUUCCCGGGUCUUGUACACACCGCCCGUCACACCACGGAAGUUGGGGGCGCCCGAAGCCACUUAGCUAACCCUUUGGGAAGCGAGUGUCGAAGGUGAAAUCAAUAACUGGGGUGAAGUCGUAACAAGGUAUC